rnacentral:rRNA from 1 species
GGAAUAUUGGGCAAUGGAGGAAACUCUGACCCAGCAAUACCGCGUGAAGGAUGAAGGUCUUCGGAUUGUAAACUUCUGUUAUAAAGGAAGAAACAAAUGACGGUACUUUAUAAGUAAGCACCGGCAAACUACGUGCCAGCAGCCGCGGUGAUACGUAGGGUGCGAGCGUUGUCCGGAAUGACUGGGUGUAAAGGGUGUGUAGGUGGCUUAUUAAGUUAAAAGUGAAAGCCCGGGGCUCAACUCCGGAACUGCUUUUAAUACUGGUUGGCUUGAGUGUGGGAGAGGUAAGUGGAACUCCUAGUGUAGCGGUGGAAUGCGUAGAUAUUAGGAAGAACAUCAGAGGCGAAGGCGACUUACUGGAACAUUACUGACACUGAAACACGAAAGCGUGGGGAGCAAACA